AGGUGAUCCAGCCGCACCUUCCGGUACGGCUACCUUGUUACGACUUAGUCCUAAUCACCAGUCCCACCUUCGACGGCUCCCCCACAACGGUUAGGCCACCGGCUUCGGGUGUUACCAACUUUCAUGACUUGACGGGCGGUGUGUACAAGCCCCGGGAACGUAUUCACCGCAGCGUUGCUGAUCUGCGAUUACUAGCGACUCCGACUUCAUGAGGUCGAGUUGCAGACCCCAAUCCGAACUGAGACCGGCUUUCCGAGAUUCGCUCACCCUCACAGGCUCGCCACUCUCUGUACCAGCCAUUGUAGCAUGCGUGAAGCCCUGGACAUAAGGGGCAUGAUGACUUGACGUCAUCCCCACCUUCCUCCGAGUUGACCCCGGCGGUCUCCACUGAGUCCCCACCAUAACGUGCUGGCAACAGUGAACAAGGGUUGCGCUCGUUGCGGGACUUAACCCAACAUCUCACGACACGAGCUGACGACAGGCAUGCACCACCUGUGAACCGACCCCAAAAGAGGCACACCCAUCUCUGAGCACUCCCGAUCCAUGUCAAACCCAGGUAAGGUUCUACGCGUUGCAUCGAAUUAAUCCGCAUGCUCCGCCGCUUGUGCGGGGCCCCGUCAAUUCCUUUGAGUUUUAGCCUUGCGGCCGUACUCCCCAGGCGGGGUACUUAAAGCGUUAGCUACGGCACGGAACCCGUGGAAUGGACCCCACACCUAGUACCCACCGUUUACAGCGUGGACUACCAGGGUAUCUAAGCCUGUUCGCUCCCCACGCUUUCGCUCCUCAGCGUCAGGAAAGGCCCAGAGAACCGCCUUCGCCACUGGUGUUCCUCCUGAUAUCUGCGCAUUCCACCGCUCCACCAGGAAUUCCAUUCUCCCCUACCUUCCUCAAGUCAACCCGUAUCGAAAGCACGCUCAGGGUUAAGCCCCAAGAUUACACUUCCGACGCGAUCAACCACCUACGAGCCCUUUACGCCCAAUAAAUCCGGACAACGCUCGCACCCUACGUAUCACCGCGGCUGCUGGCACGUAGUUAGCCGGUGCUUCUUUACCCAUUACCGUCACUCACGCUUCGUCACAGGCGAAAGCGGUUUACAACCCGAAGGCCGUCAUCCCGCACGCGGCGUUGCUGCAUCAGGCUUCCGCCCAUUGUGCAAUAUUCCCCACUGCUGCCUCCCGUAGGAGUCUGGGCCGUAUCUCAGUCCCAAUGUGGCCGGUCACCCUCUCAGGCCGGCUACCCGUCAAAGCCUUGGUAAGCCACUACCCCACCAACAAGCUGAUAAGCCGCGAGUCCAUCCCCAACCGCCGAAACUUUCCAACCCCCACCAUGCAGCAGGAGCUCCUAUCCGGUAUUAGCCCCAGUUUCCUGAAGUUAUCCCAAAGUCAAGGGCAGGUUACUCACGUGUUACUCACCCGUUCGCCACUCGAGCACCCCACAAAAGCAGGGCCUUUCCGUUCGACUUGCAUGUGUUAAGCACGCCGCCAGCGUUCGUCCUGAGCCAGGAUCAAACUCU
rnacentral:rRNA from 1 species